rnacentral:rRNA from 1 species
CUGUGCCUACGGGGCGCAGCAGUGGGGAAUAUUGGACAAUGGGGGGAACCCUGAUCCAGCGACGCCGCGUGAGUGAAGAAGUAUUUCGGUAUGUAAAGCUCUAUCAGCAGGGAAGAAAAUGACGGUACCUGACUAAGAAGCCCCGGCUAAAUACGUGCCAGCAGCCGCGGUAAUACGUAUGGGGCAAGCGUUAUCCGGAUUUACUGGGUGUAAAGGGAGCGUAGGCGGCCUGGCAAGCCUGAUGUGAAAUACCGGGGCCCAACCCCGGGGCUGCAUUGGGAACUGCCAGGCUGGCGGGCCGGAGG